CUUUGUAAAUUUGUUGCAAAUUGAAUGAGAUUAGCUUACUGCAAUCCAUACAGAAUAUGGAUCAGAAGAAAAGCUAUAAACAGACCAGAUGGCCAUGUGAGCCUUUGUCAUUACUUGGCAUUUGUUGAACUGCCAUAUACUUUUUUCCAAGUUUCUUCUCUGAAAUUACUAAUCUAAUUCAAUUAAAUUUUGAGUGAAUGAUCCCAUGUAGAAAGUUUUGUGCUUUUCUGGUUAGUCAACAUACAUGGCCUAAAAAUACAACGCCUGAAUGAAAAGCAGUUUUUAACUAUUAAAGCAGUUACAGCAAAACUUACAUACAUGUAGGUAAAAUUGAUCAGCAGACAUAUAGAACUGUUAUGUUGUUGGUUGCAUAUUCAUUGUUUAAGCCAUACUCAACUAAUUUAGGUGUGCAUCUUAGUGUAUACCUGGUAUGCUUUAGUUCUAGAAACAGGAUUUGUCUCAAUUU
rnacentral:lncRNA from 1 species